rnacentral:lncRNA from 1 species
GGAUUCAAAAAUGUACAGCAUUCUGAUUCUGUGCUUGUUCCAAAUUUCAUGACUGAGAGUGUUAAACUGAAUGAAUGUUUCCCAUUCUGGGCCACCCUUUCUCAGUUAAAACUGAUUUGUUUUAGACUAAAAUCCUGUCCAAUCAAUGUACCAAUGCUGCUUUUUGCUCUCUGCUCCAGAAACUGGAAUAAGUGGCUACAUGAUGGUUCAUGUAGCCUAACACAUUUCAAUUGCAAAAUUACUUUAGUAUAUAAUCCCUUAGGUAUCUGUGCAUGUGUUAUUUGUAAUCAAGCAAGCAAGCAAGCAACAAAAGUUAUUUGUAGCUUCUAAGAAAGUUGUAUUUUCCAUUCCACCCAGACCAUUGACAAUUUUGUUUGUUUCUUUAUUUACUCCGUGUUUGUAAUAUUUUGUUUGUAAUAUGUUAUAGUCUGGUGUGUUAUUUACGUAGGAUAUAUACAUUAAAUAUACUGUCUGGUCCCAAAACAAGCCUCUGUCUGUUGUGGUGUUUAAUUGUUUAGUAAAAGCUGUUUUUGUUUGUUGACCUCUUGUUCAAUCUUCAGUAGAGGACUGUUGUCUGUGGAAGUAAAUGAAUCGGAUACUUUUUUUUCACAACCCAAGUGGAAGUUAUACUCUGAUCAUUUGCCUCUGACAAUGAAUUCCACUUGCAUUGUCUAGACACCAUCCGGUCAGUUUGCUGAAGACUAUCCUCUGCAGAGCCUGGAGUCAUAUGUGGACAACUUCCAAGUAUUACUGUCAUUCCCACCAGCAGAAGUUGAUUCGGCUAUUGAGAAGCUUGAACAAGACCUGCUCAAUGUGGUCUGAUGGUGCCAUGCAAACAACUUACCGAUAAAUCCAAGUAAGACCAAGCUCCUCUAUAUCGGAACUAGUCAGUGGAUGAGUAGGAUACCAGGAGUUCCCUAAGUGUCCUUCAUUGGUUGGAUACUACAACCAGCUAUUUCAGCCAAGGACCUGUAGUCAUUCUGGGCCCCCACUUAACUUACGAUCACCACAUCACAUGUGUGGUCUCGUCCUGCUUUUCUAAACUAUAUCAGAUAAAUUGGGUAAAGAAGAACUUUAACAAAGAAACUUUAAAAUUACCUAAUAGCAUCAGUCUUUAGUAAAAUGUUAUGUUGUUCCACUGUGUGGUCAAACACAUCAGCUGGAAAUAUCAGUAACCUACAGUCAGUCCAAAACUUUGCCAGCAAGAUAGAUUACGAACUCUAAGAAAUUUGACCAUGUAACUCCUUUGCUUCACCAAUUGAACUAGCUACCUGUAAAGCAACUACUACUGUAUAAGGACACGGUAACGACAUACAAAUGUCGGAAUGACCUCGCUCCACAAUACCAGAGUGAUAAGUUCAUUGAGUGCUCUUGUAUUCAUGCUCAUUACACGCACAAAGGGACUCACUUCAGAUACCAAUUUGUAAAACUGCCUCAGGCCAAAGUACUUUUACCUAUAGAGCAACUAGCUUAUGGAACAGUUUGGACAAUGACUCUGAGAAUUGUACCUCCUUGAAAUCUUUUAGGAUUGCCAUGAGGAAGUACCUCCACACAGUAUAUUAGCAUGAACCUUUAGAGCUUGUUUAGUUAUAAAUAAUUACUAUAUUAAUUUUUAUUAUUAUUAUUAAUAUUAUUAUAUAUCUUUAUACAAUUUUAAAUAUAUUUUGGGAAACCUUUCAAGGAACAUCCAUAAAAGGUUAAUUUAAUUCAACAUAUUUUUGUGUGUCACAAAAAAUCCCAAUGAGGUGUCAGGAAACAAAAAUUAAAUUCCAAAAAACAA